GACGAACGCUGGCGGCGUGCUUAACACAUGCAAGUCGAACGGAAAGGCCCUGCUUUUGUGGGGUGCUCGAGUGGCGAACGGGUGAGUAACACGUGAGUAACCUGCCCUUGACUUUGGGAUAACUUCAGGAAACUGGGGCUAAUACCGGAUAGGAGCUCCUGCUGCAUGGUGGGGGUUGGAAAGUUUCGGCGGUUGGGGAUGGACUCGCGGCUUAUCAGCUUGUUGGUGGGGUAGUGGCUUACCAAGGCUUUGACGGGUAGCCGGCCUGAGAGGGUGACCGGCCACGUUGGGACUGGGAUGCGGCCCAGCCUCCUACGGGAGGCAGCAGUGGGGAAUAUUGCACAAUGGGCGGAAGCCUGAUGCAGCAACGCCGCGUGCGGGAUGACGGCCUUCGGGUUGUAAACCGCUUUCGCCUGUGACGAAGCGUGAGUGACGGUAAUGGGUAAAGAAGCACCGGCUAACUACGUG
rnacentral:rRNA from 1 species